CCUACGGGAGGCAGCAGUGAGGAAUAUUGGUCAAUGGGCGCGAGCCUGAACCAGCCAAGUAGCGUGAAGGAUGACUGCCCUACGGGUUGUAAACUUCUUUUAUAAAGGAAUAAAGUGAGGCACGUGUGCCUUUUUGUAUGUACUUUAUGAAUAAGGAUCGGCUAACUCCGUGCCAGCAGCCGCGGUAAUACGGAGGAUCCGAGCGUUAUCCGGAUUUAUUGGGUUUAAAGGGAGCGUAGAUGGGUUGUUAAGUCAGUUGUGAAAGUUUGCGGCUCAACCGUAAAAUUGCAAUUGAUACUGGCGGUCUUGAGUACGGUUGAGGUAGGCGGAAUUCGUGGUGUAGCGGUGAAAUGCUUAGAUAUCACGAAGAACUCCGAUUGCGAAGGCAGCUUACUAGACUGCCACUGACAUUGAUGCUCGAAAGUGUGGGUAUCAAACAGGAUUAGAUACCCUUGUAGUC
rnacentral:rRNA from 1 species